rnacentral:rRNA from 1 species
CCUACGGGUCGCACCAGUGGGGAAUAUUGGACAAUGGGCGAAAGCCUGAUCCAGCAAUGCCGCGUGUGUGAAGAAGGUCUUCGGAUUGUAAAGCACUUUUAUCAGGAACGAAAUACCACGGGUUAGUACCCUAUGGGGCUGACGGUACCUGAGGAAUAAGCACCGGCUAACUUCGUGCCAGCAGCCGCGGUAAUACGAAGGGCGCAAGCGUUAAUCGGAAUUACUGGGCGUAAAGCGUGCGUAGGCGGUUUGUUAAGUCUGCUGUGAAAACCCUGGGCUCAACCAGGGAAUGGCAGUGGAAACUGGCGAGCUAGAGUGUGAUAGAGGAUGGUGGAAUUCCCGGUGUAGCGGUGAAAUGCGCAGAGAUCGGGAGGAACAUCAGUGGCGAAGGCGGCCAUCUGGAUCGACACUGACGCUGAGGCACGAAAGCGUGGGGAGCAAACAGGAUUAGAUACCCUGGUAGUC